GACAGAGGGUGCAAACGUUGUUCGGAAUUACUGGGCGUAAAGCGCACGUAGGCGGACAUUUAAGUCAGGGGUGAAAUCCCGGGGCUCAACCUCGGAACUGCCUUUGAUACUGGGUGUCUUGAGUAUGGAAGAGGUAAGUGGAAUUGCGAGUGUAGAGGUGAAAUUCGUAGAUAUUCGCAGGAACACCAGUGGCGAAGGCGGCUUACUGGUCCAUUACUGACGCUGAGGUGCGAAAGCGUGGGGAGCGAACAGG
rnacentral:rRNA from 1 species